AUUGAGCGCUGGCGGCAGGCUUAACACAUGCAAGUCGAACGAGGUUAGAAAGCUUGCUUUCGAUACCUAGUGGCGGACGGGUGAGUAAUGCUUAGGAAUCUGCCUAGUAGUGGGGGAUAACUUGGGGAAACUCAAGCUAAUACCGCAUACGACCUACGGGUGAAAGGGGGCGCAAGCUCUCGCUAUUAGAUGAGCCUAAGUCGGAUUAGCUAGUUGGUGGGGUAAAGGCCUACCAAGGCGACGAUCUGUAGCUGGUCUGAGAGGAUGAUCAGCCACACUGGGACUGAGACACGGCCCAGACUCCUACGGGAGGCAGCAGUGGGGAAUAUUGGACAAUGGGCGAAAGCCUGAUCCAGCCAUGCCGCGUGUGUGAAGAAGGCCUUUUGGUUGUAAAGCACUUUAAGUAGGGAGGAAAAGCUAAUGGUUAAUACCCAUUAGCCCUGACGUUACCUACAGAAUAAGCACCGGCUAACUCUGUGCCAGCAGCCGCCGUAAU
rnacentral:rRNA from 1 species